rnacentral:lncRNA from 1 species
UAACUGACAAAAGUUCAUCAACGAUGUCAGCAUGGCUCUGUCAUGACUGUCCUGUGGUGAGUUCAUUGGAAGGAAAAUUGUGUAAUGAUGGAAAAGAACUGGAAAAGAAUAACAGUCCGUCAUUCCUACUUUCGAACCCUCGAGUCUUCAACUUCUCCAGCUCAUACGUUCCUUGGCACAGUGCUUUCCCCCUUCUGGAUGCUCAAGAAAUAUGAUUUGAUGAUAAGCCUGCCUGUGAUUUCCAGAUGCCUUUGUUUCCCUCCUGUUGAUUCCUCAGUCUUGCCAGGGAAGGGGAGCAGCCUAAGGAAGGAGGCGCCGAUGGCAUCCACUUCAGUAGUAGCAUCUGGCUCGUGGGACAAGAGUGUUUGCCUGGCUGGUUCCUGGAACAGAAGUGACGUGGGACCCAGGGCAGCAGCAGGGGCGGUUGAGCCUUGUGGCAGUGCAAACUGUAAUGUGCCCGACUCAGUGGCGGCAAAGGUCCUGCUGCAGACCUGUUCCUGUGUGUGGUUUAGGGCACAGACCCUGGAGGCCACGAGCUGAUUUCUGCAGAUGACUCAAGGAUACUGAGUGUUCCUCGGUCUACUCUUUUCUGCUAGAUCCACAGUAAUUAACUACUGUUCCUGGCAACUGUUCCUGGUCUGAUCCUGGCUAACUAUCCUUAUUAAAACAUGUCCCCAGAGUCUAUAUACACACAAGCAAUGAUACAUUUUUAUGUUUAAGAAUGGGACUCUGGUAUAUACACACCGGGUAGCUUAGACCCACUCUUUCCCGUUAACCACUCUGCAAGAGUCUGUGGAAUUGUAUGUUUCACCAUAAUUUGCUAACCAAACCCCCUACUGAUUUACAUUUAAGAGAUUUUCCUCUUUUGAUUCUUGUAUGCAAGGUAGCAGUGAAAACCCUGACACAUUUAUCUUUGCCAGUUCAUGCUGUGAUUCUUGUAUAGAUUCCUAGCAAUAAAAUUUCUGGAUUAUCACA